GUGAGGAAUAUUGGACAAUGGGCGCAAGCCUGAUCCAGCCAUGCCGCGUGCAGGAAGACGCAUCUAUGGUGUGUAAACUGCUUUUGUACGGGAAGAAACACUCCCUCGUGAGGGAGCUUGACGGUACCGUAAGAAUAAGGAUCGGCUAACUCCGUGCCAGCAGCCGCGGUAAUACGGAGGAUCCAAGCGUUAUCCGGAAUCAUUGGGAUUACAGGGUCCGUAGGCGGUUUAAUAAGUCAGUGGUGAAAGCCCAUCGCUCAACGAUGGAACGGCCAUUGAUACUGUUAGACUUGAAUUACAAGGAAGUAACUAGAAUAUGUAGUGUAGCGGUGAAAUGCUUAGAUAUUACAUGGAAUACCAAUUGCGAAGGCAGGUUACUACUUGUGGAUUGACGCUGAUGGACGAAAGCGUGGGGAGCGAACAGGAUUAGAUACCCCGGUAGUCC
rnacentral:rRNA from 1 species